AUGGAGACGCGGAAGCGGGAGGUGGCAGCCUUCCUCGGGCAAACUUCCCACGAGACCACCGGCGGGUGGCCCGCAGCGCCCGACGGACCGUACGCGUGGGGCUACUGCUUCAAACAGGAGCAGGGCUCACCGGGAAGCUACUGCGAGCCAAAGCCGGAGUGGCCGUGCGCGUCCCGCAAGAAAUACUACGGGCGCGGCCCCAUCCAGCUCUCAUGGAACUACAACUAUGGCCCGGCCGGGCGUGCCAUCGGAGUGGACCUGCUCAACAACCCGGACCUGGUGGCCACCGACGCCACGGUGUCGUUUAAGACGGCGUUGUGGUUUUGGAUGACGGCUCAGGCGAACAAGCCGUCGUCCCAUGCCGUGAUCACAGGCCAAUGGACCCCAUCGGGCAUGGACAACGCUGCUGGUCGGGUGCCUGGGUACGGCGUCAUCACCAACAUCAUCAACGGCGGGCUCGAGUGCGGUAGGGGGCAGGAUGACCGUGUUGCUAACCGGAUCGGGUUCUACAAGCGCUACUGCGAUGUCCUCGGCGUAGGCUAUGGUAACAACCUCGACUGCUUCAACCAGAGGCCCUUCAA
rnacentral:rRNA from 1 species